rnacentral:snoRNA from 1 species
ACUGGUCUCAGACAGCAUAGUAUAUAAGGGACUAUUAGGAUACAUUCUGGACACAGUGUCCCGAGCUAGAGCAAACUGUGGCCCUGAACCAUUGCCUCCCCUCUGUCUGUAGGCUGCUGGCACUGAAGUGGGUUGCACAGUU